UGUAGUGAUGAGUCAUUAGACUAGAGUCUCUGAUAACAUGGUGAUGCUAUUUGAGAUUGCACUGAAUA
ensembl:snoRNA